rnacentral:rRNA from 1 species
AGCAGCCGCGGUAAUUCCAGCUCCAAUAGCGUAUAUUAAAGUUGUUGCAGUUAAAAAGCUCGUAGUUGAAUUUCGGGGUUAGUAGGUUGGUCGUGCCACUGGUAUGUACUGGUUCUACUGAUCCCUCCUUCUUGUAGAACCGUAAUGCCAUUCACUUGGUGUUGCAGGGAAACAGGACUGUUACUUUGAAAAAAUUAGAGUGUUUAAAGCAGGCUAACGCUUGAAUACAUUAGCAUGGAAUAAUGAAAUAGGACGUUCGAUCCUAUUUUGUUGGUUUCUAGGAUUGACGUAAUGAUUAAUAGGGAUAGUUGGGGGCAUUAGUAUUCAAUUGUCAGAGGUGAAAUUCUUGGAUUUAUUGAAGACUGACUACUGCGAAAGCAUUUGCCAAGGAUGUUUUCAUUAAUCAAGAACGAAAGUUAGGGGAUCGAAGACGAUCAGAUAUCGUCGUAGUCUUAACCAUAAACUAUGCCGACUAGGGAUCGGAUGAUGUUAAUUUUUUAAUGACUCA